rnacentral:rRNA from 1 species
ACCUCGAUGUCGGCUCAUCCUAUCCUGGGGCUGUAUAAAGUCCCAAGGGUCCGGCUGUUCGCCGGUUAAAAGGGUACGUGAGCUGGGUUUAGAACGUCGUGAGACAGUUCGGUCUCUAUCUGGUGUGGGCGCACGAUGAUUGAAGGGAAGAUCUCCUUAGUACGAGAGGACCGGGAGAUACGAACCUCUGGUGUACCAGUUGUCCUGCCAAGGGCAAUGGCUGGGUAGCCAAGUUCGGAAGGGAUAAGCGCUGAAUGCAUAUAAGUACGAAGCCCCUCCUAAGAUGAAUCAUCGAUUACCUUCGGGUAUGAAGGCACGUUGUAGACUACGACGUUGAUAGGCUGUGAGUGUAAGACUCGUAAGAGUUUAAGCUAAACAGUACUAAUCUGCCGAAUGCUUGAUCUU